rnacentral:rRNA from 1 species
GCCCUUAAGUCUGGGAUACCAUUGGAAGCAGAUGCUAAUACCGGAUAACAACAGAUGAUGCCUAUCAACUAGUUUAAAAGAUGGUUCUGCUAUCACUCUUGGAUGGACCUGCGGUGCAUUAGCUAGUUGGUAGGGUAACGGCCUACCAAGGCGAUGAUGCAUAGCCGAGUUGAGAGACUGAUCGGCCACAUUGGGACUGAGACACGGGCCCCAAAACUCCUACGGGAGGCAGCAGCA